CGGCUGCACUGCAUAAAGCUGACCUCCUCCACACUGUGCUGUUGCAGAUCCUGCAAACUCAACUCAGAUACUCACCAAAGCUCUAAGGGGUCUCACCAUGACCAAGCUACUAUUCAUCUCAGCCUUCAUGGCAGUACUUGUCAUCAGUGUGGUGGGUUUUCGUGUCCCAAGGCGUGCUGAGUGGGUUCCCCACGUGCAUUCAAUAUUUGACCAGACCAUGGACCUGGUUGGCCAGAUAGUUGGAAAAGAGAACCUUCAAACUGCUGUAGAUACAACAACUGAAACAACAGUCCGUCUGGCCGACGCAACAGCUAAUCUUGCAGAGAAAAUUUUCAAAGCUCUCUUUACAAACUAACGGCUUCACUGUCUGUGACCUCUCCAUCUGCGUGGAAUGAACACGCUCAUCAGUCUUUUACGAAGUCCAACCAUUGUGUGGAAGCUUAACUGACCAAGAACAAAAGGAGUUUUGUCUCUCUUUACUUGUGUACUAAAAAUUAUCUGAUAAACUGCAGGGUGGCCAUUUUUCUUUGACUCUUGAAAUGUACCAUCCCACAUUCAAUCCCACAUUCAAUUAACAUGAGAGGCAAUGAGAGAGGUCUGGGGCGAAUUCUAUUUCACCCCAAAAUCGGGCGGGACCAUUUGAUGCACGACUUUAGCCUGAUUGGACAAUGACAUUCAGAGGCAGAUCAGACGGUCUAGUGGUAAAAUGGGACAGAAAAAAAUAACAUCUCCUUCUUCCGCUUGGCAGUGCGUCGCCCAAAUCGCCCUUAUGGACAAACCGCCCCUGUCCUACAGUAAUAAACAUCUUUCUUGAUUGGUAAAGUUCACGCCUCCUCCAUGUUUUCUAUCUGCUAUUUUGGAACCAGUUCCCACUUCACCACCUCUCCUGUGAGGAUGCAAAACUGCAGAGCUUGUUUGUUUUCCACAUGGACUUAAUAAAACUUGAUUCUGAAUGCUA
ensembl:lncRNA